rnacentral:rRNA from 1 species
UGGGUAACCUGCCUCAAAGAGGGGAAUAGCCUCCCGAAAGGGAGAUUAAUACCGCAUAAUAUGUUUAAGUCGCAUGACUUUAACAUCAAAGGAUUUUCUUUUAGAAAUUCCACUUUGAGAUGGACCCGCGGCGCAUUAGCUAGUUGGUGAGGUAACGGCUCACCAAGGCAACGAUGCGUAGCCGGCUGAGAGGGCACCGGCCACACUGGGACUGAGACACGGCCCAGACUCCGUACGGGAGCAG